rnacentral:rRNA from 1 species
UACGGAGGGUGCAAGCGUUGUCCGGAUUCAUUGGGUUUAAAGGGUGCGUAGGCGGCUUAGUAAGUCAGGGGUGAAAGCCGGGGGCUCAACUGGCGAACUGCCAUUGAUACUGAUAAGCUGGAGUAUAGUCGAGGUAGGCGGAAUUUAUGGUGUAGCGGUGAAAUGCAUAGAUACCAUAAAGAACACCGAUAGUGAAGACAGCUUACCAGGCCACAACUGACGCUGAGGCACGAAAGCAUGGGGAGCGAACAGG